rnacentral:rRNA from 1 species
GCACAAGCGGUGGAUGAUGUGGUUUAAUUCGAUGCAACGACGAAAACCUUACCCACCUUUGACAUGGCAGGAAGUUUCCAGAGAUGGAUUCGUGCUCGAAAGAGAACCUGCACACAGGUGCUGCAUGGCUGUCGUCAGCUCGUGUCGUGAGAUGUUGGGUUAAGUCCCGCAACGAGCGCAACCCUUGCCAUCAGUUGCUACGAAAGGGCACUCUGAUGGGACUGCCGGUGACAAACCGGAGGAAGGUGGGGAUGACGUCAAGUCCUCAUGGCCCUUAUAGGUGGGGCUACACACGUCAUACAAUGGCCGGUACAAAGGGCAGCAAACCCGCGAGGGGGAGCCAAUCCAUCAAAGCCGGUCGUAGUCCGGAUCGCAGUCUGCAACUCGACUGCGUGAAGUCGGAAUCGCUAGUAAUCGUGGAUCAGCAUGCUGCGGUGAAUACGUUCCCGGGUCUU